CAUUACUUUCAGCCUCUGGGAGACUCCACAGAAAAGUGAGGAUCAGACAGAGGAGUAGUUGAGGAGCCAUGGUGCCUAUCGAUGGAAAAGAACAGUUUGUUCUCUUUCAGGCUGGCUAUGAACAAGGUUCAAGCAAUCAAGAUUCCUGUUGUUCUGCUCCAGCCCUUAUCAUGUCCUCCAAAGCCUGUUUGAGUUUGGCUAUGGAUGCUUCAGAUCAUUGUGCUGACUAAUUCAAAAUGCGGGUCUUUACCAAGUAAGGUCAUUUGAGUCAGUACAAGAUUAAUAGUAUGGGGUGUGGGAUGGAUACCUCAAAGGAGAGCUGCCCCUCACUGCUAAGCACAGAUAGUGACCUUGAAAGGAAGCUCACCCAGAAGUUGAAAACAGAUUGUACUUAGGGGAAGAGCUUCACUGCCUCCUCUCUGAGUUUUUCAUAAAGAAACCUUAAAGAAACAUCCUACAUCCAGAGCAACUUGUUCCUAAGGAAGACCUAGCAAAUGCUAAUGCUACUACCUAUCAUAAGUAUAUUUCUGCAAUAUUUGAACAUGAGAGAGAAUUGCAUUUUGCAUCUCUCUCUCACACAUCUCAAAAAGCAGCAGAAAGUAGAGCACAGUAAAACAUAUUUUUUUCAACUAAAAUAUCUUUAUUACAAUCUUUGAUCAGCCUUCACAAUAAAAGUAUAGUACAGUACUUUUACAGUACAGUAAAGAGAGAAAUAGUUUAACGCAACAUUUGUUAUUUAGAAUAG